GUAAAAUGAGGAGGGGUUUCUAGUAUUUUCGCUACGGAAAUAUCUCCGAACCCAGCUUAGCUUCCUAUUGAAGUCAUUUGCCUUGCUAAUCUGUCAUUCGAGUUAUCUCUUCCCCUUAACGGAAGCUGAUUAAAAGCAGAGAGAGAGAGAGAGCAAACCAAUCCCGGCGCCAAUCAGCCUAAUUACCUCCGACUCCGACUCCGACUCUGGGUCUCUCUCCUUCUUGCUAGCCGGAUGGAUUUUGAUUAUUGUUAUUCAGUUUGAUUUUGGUUGGAGUGGAGAAGAGAAGAUAUAUGGUUUGGCAGCUGUGUUGGUAAGUCGAUGACGGCAAUUUGUAGGCAGCAAUGGACACUUGGACCCCGAAAACCUCACCUCACCUCACCACCAGAGAGCAAUUUCGUCUAUACGGGAUGGUCCGGAAUCUCCAAAAUCUCCAAUAGCAAAGUCUCCAUCCCAGAACUCUCUUCGUUGCCAAAAGGAGGAAAAUGUUUGCUGAGUCCCAGGUUGGAAGGUCCAGUUUCCAGAAGCUUUUGGAGCCAAAGCCCCCACUCAGAGAUCUGCAAUCACUCCUUAUAGAAUUGUUCUUGGUAAUAUAAAAAGUGACAAGGUAUGUUUCCUUUCCUUUUCUCACCUCACCGUUUCGGGCCUAAUUCUCAUCUACCUCCAAUCUGCAACUCCAAUUCCUUAAAUCCACUGUCUCCGUCGAACAUCUCCACCUUCUAAAUCUUGAUCAUCGAUCGAGGCUGUUUUGUUGCAAUUGUAGCCGAAGCCGGCGAAUCAGAAGAAGCCCUUGAUCUCAGACCAAUUUAGACCCGAUCCUUCAAUGUCCAGUACUACGCGGAGAGGAAUACCAGUUUGAAGAAUUUGUGCAGGUGGAUUCCGAACUUCGCUCCCCAGAAGCAGGAGGUCCAAAACAUCACAGCGCACUCCCACUGGUACUGCAUUGCUCAGACUUUGUUUGGUUUGCAAUAGCGAUCCUAAGCUUGAUGUCAACUAUUCUGCCGUGGAAAACUGAAGUUAUCUCGAAGAAAGUAGUCAUUGCACUUGGCAAGAGUGUAGCUGGAAGUAUCAAAGAGUAAGGUUUGAGCUUCUUUUUCUUCUAAUAAUCUGAAAUGGUUUAUUUCAGUUGUGACUAUGGAUUUUGAGGGUCUGAUUAUGAUAGAAGCUAUUUGAAGAGUAUAGGAUUAUAGAGGGAUUUUAUAGUAGGUUGGGAGAAGCCCAAUGUGUUUAUGAAUGUCCCUAUUUGACAUCCAACUAUAUUGUUCUUCUGUUGUCAAAGCUCGCUGUUCUUUUUUUUCUUUUUCAUGUUGCAUACAUAAAUAUGCUCGAAGGUGAUCUACUGAUCUAGAAUGUGAUCUUUGGGUUGUCAAAGAAUGCAUCUAGGUCCUAGGUUUGGCCCAGUCUAAUAAUUAAGAGCCGAGGACUUUAGGUGGGGGUGCACACAAACAUGAUAGUUUAUAGGCUGUAUGCUUAUUCUUUUGUACAUUUGGAAAUGAAGUUCAGAGUAUGGCAUAGGAAUGGAGGUGUCAACAAGUGGUGACAUCUAUAGCUAUGAAAUCCUGCUAUUUGAGAUGCUGAUAGGCAAGAGAUUGAUAUAUGACAUGUUUAAAGACGACCUGAACUUGCAUAAAUUUGUCAAAUAAGGCUUUGGCCUCCUUAUCCUAUUGGAUGGUGAUCAGAGCUGAGUCUUCUAGCCAUCCCAGCUUUUGAGCAACAGCACUUGGAGCCUAUUAUUGAAGAGGAGCUUUUGAACGAGCACAUGGACAAUAUUGAAGAGGUUUGACAUGUAAAACAAGAAACUUUCAACUAUGUCAUUUUUUUCGUUUACUGAUAAUCUGAUAUUAGUGUGCUUUGUUUAGUGUACGACUGGCUUUGAUUAUCCAACAAGAUGCUACCAGUCUACUUUGUUCUUGGGAUUUUAUGAUCUGUACCUAAAAUUAUGCCUGACCGGGACGGCUAGAAGACUGGGCUCUGAUCAAGAUGCUACCAGUAGACUUUGUUUGUGGGAUUUUGUGAUUUUUACUAAUUUUGAAUGCUAUGGAAACUUCUCUAAGUAUAUCAUGUCUUUAUUCAUUUGAAAUUCAGCUUCACCCAACCAUUCAAUUA